GCCAGGUGCAGCGGUCAUGCCUGUAGUUCCAGCUACUCAGGAGGCUAAGGCAGGAGGAUCACUUGAGUCCAAGAGAUCUGGGCUGUAGCAUGCUCUGCCAAUCAAAUGUCUGCACUAAGUUUGGCAUCAGUAUGGUGACCUCUGUGACGUGGGGGACCACCAGGUUGCCUAAGGAAGAAUUAACCAGCCCAGGUCAGAAACAGCAGGUCAAUUUUUGUGACAAUCAGUAGUGGGAUUAUGCCUGUCAGUAGUCACUGCACUCCAGUUUGGGCAACAUAGCAAGAUCUCAUCUCUA
rfam:Nomascus leucogenys chromosome 6, whole genome shotgun sequence.